AUGGAGCACAGACUCUUGAAAUGUUUAGAUUCCAAUGUGCUUUUUGUCUUCAGAUGCCUCCGUUCUGUUCAUGUUCUGUCUGUCAUCUGUCUGGAGCAUUGCGAGGCACUGGAGCAUCUUGAAUCCUCGGCCUCGGAAAUGGAUCCCCUGCCCGGCGUUUUUACAGACUGGCCUUCCCCGCUCCCCCCCUUCUUUCUGCUGCGGAUCCGCCCUCUUUACGGGGUCACGGUGAGGGGGAGGGAGGGGAGGGAGGGGGAGGGAGGGGAAGCGGGUGAAGGAGGAGGAGGGAGGAGAGGGAGGAGGCUCUGGCCUCGUCCUGCCCGGGGACCGGCUCACUCACCUCCUCACCUCAGGCUCAGAAGGAAGGAGACAUUGCCAGGAGCACUUCCUCCCCCCCCCCCCCCCCCCCCCCCCCCCCCCCAGCCCAUCAGAGCUGCAGACAGUCAGCGCCUCCAUCUGUUUUUCUGGCAGCACGGAAUUCACUGGAAAGCUCCCUGCCAGCCAGUCUCCAGUCUCGGACUGUGCCUGCCUGGGGGCCUGCGACUCGCCCCUCCUCCCCGCCGCCGCCUGUGGAGCCUGCGCCUUCCCCCAGCCACCCCCUGCCUGCGGGCUUGCGCCUCCCCCUUCCCUUGCCUCCCCCCCCUUCCUUGCCUGGCUGGGCUGAGAAACCUCGCUGUCAUGAGAAAAGAAUCCACAGGUCCUGAAACUUGCUAUUUUUAGGACUUGGUGGACUUGAGCCAGUUUCCUGAGUGUAGUAAUUACCCAAAUAUUUUAUUGAAUACGGCCUUGAAAAAUAACAACACUCAUCAACUCUACUGGGAAAUUCAAGCAGGUUUAAAAUGGCAUGUAACUGAUUCACAAAGACAAAUGACAGGCGCCUGCGCUCUCCUGGGCUGGCCCCACCCUGUCUUCUUCUGCCCUCACCUGCCCCCACCUGCUCCUGGUCCUGUCCCCUCCCUCCCUGCACCCGCCCCCCAGCAGGGCAGGGUUGGCUCCCAGGCACACCUGGCCAGACCAUCUUCUCUACUCAAUGCAGGCCGUGGGUCCUGGACAUCUCAAACCUUAUGUUUCCAAAAGGGAAUGCUUCCUGCCUCCCCCAACCACCGGGGUGCUCCAUCUGAGGAGAAGACUUGGUCCAUGCCUCACUCGGGCCACCAAACUGAGACCUGCUUUUUGCCCUUCCCUUCCGCUCACGACCCAGGUGACCCUGAUGACUCUACCUUCAGAUGACGAAUCGGCCUCUGGGUCCCCUGGAGCCCCACCCCCCUGUACCAGUGUCCAUGUCCCUUCCCGUGGAACUGGUGCCCUGCCUCAACGGGCACCCUGCAGCCCAGUUCGUCCUUCACAGACACACGUGAGGACCUGUUAGAGAAUGUAAACCCCAUUUCGAUUGCUCCCUCAGCGUCCUGCAGUCCUCCCCUUGGUGCCCUGGCCUGUUAAAGACAAGUCACCUACCUAUCUGUGUGUCCUGAGACGGAUCUUCCCUCUGGUUGCUGAAUAUCAAGUUCAGAAGCUCGUGACUCCAGGGAUGGCUUAGCGAAGACUGCAAAGAGAGAUGCCUCCAGCUGACCCACCCCAGUUUACAUGAUGGAACCAAACACUCAUGCCAAGGCUCAUCUGGGAACCAAGAAUAGUUAGAGAAAUAGAAAAAUUAAUGAGUUCAUUAGAGUGGGGAGCAGUGAGCUGUUCCCUUCCAUCAACAGGGAAAUCUGGAGCCUGCCCAAGAGCAGGAAGCGGGGAACAGUGCUCCCUGGGCCACAUCUUCCCUUCAUUAGAGGACAGACCUGCUGAGACAAACUCGCAAAGGAAAUUCCAGCUUCUCUAAGAACCUCAGAGAGAUGGCAUCAUGAGCCCACAUCGGGCAGGUGCAACUCGCUGGUUCUCUGGCAAAUACGUCUUGUGUGCUGGUCCUCUUAAUCGUCAUUCUAUCUGAAGCCUAAGUUACAAUUCUUGUCCUCAUUCUGCAGAUGAGCAAACUGAGGCCAUAGAGGUUAAUCAGCGUGCCGGAGACCUCACAGUCAGGAAAUGGCAGAGCCAUUGCAAAGAAAACUGGCUCCACGGUCCCCAUUCCUGACCAAAGAAACUGAUCUGAGUUUGGGAAUGCGCUGUGUGCCCUGGUUCAAGUCCCAAAACAGGGAAAUUUCAGCGAAGUCCACAGGCCAGACCGUCGGGCUCCGGUACCCUGAAAGGCUUCCCAAUGACCUUGGUGGGAGGGGGUACGGCAGCCCAGGGACCACUCAGCUGCAGGUGUCAGGUGUCGGGUGGUAGAGGUAGAGGAUCUGGAGUAUAACAUAGACAGGAAGUGUGCCUUGUGGUCUAGUCCUAAAGGUUACAGCCAGGGAGCAAGGGGAAUCAGGAAGUGAGGGAGCCUUCAGUAGGUAAGAAUGAUACACAAGAAACGGGAACAUUCCUGUGUCACAUUCAGGUUUGUCUCUUACACCCCAGAUUCACAUCCAUUUAUAUAUGUGUACGUGUGUAUAUAUGCAUGAGGAAACGCUGGUCCUAUAAAUGGAAUGCAGGUCACACAGAAGACACGUGCCACACGUCAAGUGUCCUGUGGUGCUUUUAGAAUAGAUCCAUGCUAUUCUAAGGCAGUGGCUAAGGCAGUGGCUAAGGCAGUGGCUCCUGUGCUCCACCACCUAAGGCAUCCACCCCAAGCUCCUGGGUGGGAAGCUGGCAGCUCUUCCCUCCUCCAUAUGGGAUCAGUUAUGGGGCCCGAUGAUGAUUUUACGUCUGAAACAUUUUGUGGCAGAGUCAGUAGUGUCUGUUGGCCAGACCCGUUUCCUUCCUGCUCUGGGCUCUCAGCUUGAUGACACUUUGGAGACUCUGCCACAUGAGGUGGGGCCACAGGCCCGAGUUCUGUGUGGGGCCACCACAGGCCUGGCCCCUAGGCCUCCAGCAGGACCUCUGACCCUGUAUGUUCCCUCUCAGGCCGGCACUCUUCAGGGGAUGGCAGGGCCCAGGGGGACAGCAGAACUUCUGGACGGAAGAGGCUGGGUCCCUGAAUGACUACAUGGAGUGGAGCCUCCCUGUCAUGGCCAGGCCCCAUCACAGACCCACACUGGGCUGGGUGUCAAUAAGAAAGAAACUGACUUGGCCAUGUGCUGGGACUUUAGGUUGUUCCCUCCAAAAAUGAUGGCUACUUGCUGAAUCUCUCCUCUCCUAGAUAUUCCUUCUGGAGCUGACGCUGUGCCCAUUGCUGCCUUUGUACCUCUCUCCAAGUCCUCCCCACCUCCACCUCACCUUCAGCCAAGAUUUAUUUCAUUUCUAUCACUGUUCCAGCUACCAAGGCACAGUGAGCCUCUCAAAGCCCAAGUCAGUCCCAUCUGCUCCUGGGUGUACACCUUCCUUCCAGGGGCUCCUUCCAGGGGGCACCUCCCAGUGCAGCCUUUGAGUGGUCUCACAUGGCACACAGUCUUCCCAUGCCUGCUUCGGUCCACACCGCCGGCCUCAUGUUGGUUCUCUCAUAGACACAACAGGGCCUAGCCACAGGAGCAGCGGGGGGCCUUUCUGUCCUCAGGGCUGCUUCUCUCACCGCCUCCUCCUGGAACCUCCUUCCAUCUCUCUGCCCUCUACCUCCCUCUGUUGGCUUAAUUCUUCCUCAUCUUGUAGGAUCAGCUUGGCAACACCUCCUCUGUAUCCUCCUCACCGCCCCUCCUCCCCCCAAUAACCUGCCCACCAUGCAUGCCACUGUGUUUUUGUGUUUUUUGCACCAAGGACACUUGGCACAGAGACGGGGUUGGUUGUCUGUGUGCCUGACACCACAGGGCCUCAACAACUACACAUGGGCCCUGACAAUAAAAAAGAUGUGUCUGGAUAUCGCCGGACGUUCCCCAGGAAACAAAAUGGGCCCCCUUGAGUGAGAAGUCCUGCUCUAGGGUCAUGAAGCAGGUGGAAUCAUCUGCUAAGCCUCACAAGAUGUCAGAGGGCACCUCACAAGAAGUCAUCUUGAUGAGGUCACCCUAGUCCGUGUUAACCUGAAACUAGAUUUUGUCCAAAGUGGCUCUCAGAAGUAAAGUUGUAGGGACCAAGUUCAGACCAGAUUCAGGGCCUACAGGAUACCCACCCGCUGCUGCUCCUCUGCGAACAGACUCCACUCUUUUUCAACGUGGCAUAUGCCCGACACAAGCAGUAUCUUGACAUUGGCCUAGGCUGUUCUGGAUCAUUCUGUAUCUUAACAUCCCAGCCUUUCAUGCAGGUAAGGGAAGCCUAAUAACCAGUUCCAGUCAAGGAGAUACAGGGGCAAGUCUAGUGUGGGAGUUUGACAUUUUUGCUUUUCUGAGAGAAAAGGUCACAGGCAGCAGACACCACCCUCCUUCCUUGAUGAGGGCACGAGGGUUAGAGCUGGGGCAGCCAGGGAACAAAGGCUGAGGGGCCGGUGGGGUCACAGCGGGGCCAGGGUGGGCCUCCUGGAGCCCAAGCCCAAGCCCUCUACUUAUUGCAGGAGGACAAGACCUCUUGGCUCUGGCUCUGGGUGGAAUCAGCUCACCAGGAAGGGAACGGAGAGCCAGUUGGGAGCACAACCUGGGGUUUUCAUUUCCAGGUGCCCUGCCCCGAUGAGAAGGAGAGCAGGGCAGGGGGAAGGUCACUCUGGGGAGAAACAAGGCCAUUUCUCCUACUUCCAGGUGGAAACUUUUUUUAAUUAGGCUCCAAAUAUUUACCACUACUUUAUUCCUUAAUUUUCAUCAUUGAGACAUGGAAAAGGUAGAAGAUUUAUAUGAUCUGAAGAGAAACCAGAGUUAUCACUGAGACUUUUAAAGUGGAGAAUAUGCCUAAUACUUCAUUUAUCUCACACUGUGAGGAAACAGGACUUUCUACACAAAUUGGUAUCACAUUUGACAACUGAGACUUAUCAUUUUCUGUGUUCACAGACUUCCAAUAUUCUCUGCUUUAUACCUAUUUAAUAUUUAAUAUUAAUUUUAAACACUGUCAAAUAUCUAUUUUCUGCUUUUUCAAGCCAAUGUUUUUAAAUGUGCUGUAACUUAUGUAAGAACUUUUUAAAAAAUUCAAUCUCAUUUAUAUUAAUAAAAAUUGUAUGUAUUUAAGGUAUACAACAAAUAUAUACAAAAUUCC
rnacentral:lncRNA from 1 species